UGGGGAAUAUUGCACAAUGGGCGCAAGCCUGAUGCAGCCAUGCCGCGUGGAUGAAGAAGGCCUUCGGGUUGUAAAGUACUUUCAGUCGGGAGGAAGGUGGUAAGGUUAAUAACCUUAUCAAUUGACGUUACCGACAGAAGAAGCACCGGCUAACUCCGUGCCAGCAGCCGCGGUAAUACGGAGGGUGCAAGCGUUAAUCGGAAUUACUGGGCGUAAAGUGCACGCAGGCGGUUUGUUAAGUCAGAUGUGAAAUCCCCGGGCUCAACCUGGGAAGUGCAGCUGAUACUGGCAAGCUUGAGUCUCGUAGAGGGGGGAAGAAUUCCAGGUGUAGCGGUGAAAUGCGUAGAGAUCAGGAGGAAUACCGGUGGCGAAGGCGGCCCCCUGGACGAAGACUGACGCUCAGGUGCGAAAGCGUGGGGAGCAAACAGG
rnacentral:rRNA from 1 species